rnacentral:tRNA from 1 species
CGGGGCAUAGCGCAGCCUGGUAGCGCAUCUGCUUUGGGAGCAGAGGGUCGGGGGUUCAAAUCCCUCUGCCCCGA